rnacentral:rRNA from 1 species
UACGGGGGGGGCUAGCGUUGUUCGGAAUUACUGGGCGUAAAGCGCGCGUAGGCGGCUAACUAAGUUAGAGGUGAAAUCCCCAGGCUUAACCUGGGAACUGCAUCCGAUACUGGAUGGCUUGAAUCCGGGAGAGGGAUGCAGAAUUCCAGGUGUAGCGGUGAAAUGCGUAGAUAUCUGGAGGAAUACCGGGGGCGAAGGCGGCAUCCUGGACCGGCAUUGACGCUGAGUGAGCGAAAGCCAGGGGAGCAAACAGG